GACGAACGCUGGCGGCGUGCUUAACACAUGCAAGUCGAACGGAAAGGCCCUGCUUUUGUGGGGUGCUCGAGUGGCGAACGGGUGAGUAACACGUGAGUAACCUGCCCUUGACUUUGGGAUAACUUCAGGAAACUGGGGCUAAUACCGGAUAGGAGCUCCUGCUGCAUGGUGGGGGUUGGAAAGUUUCGGCGGUUGGGGAUGGACUCGCGGCUUAUCAGCUUGUUGGUGGGGUAGUGGCUUACCAAGGCUUUGACGGGUAGCCGGCCUGAGAGGGUGACCGGCCACAUUGGGACUGAGAUACGGCCCAGACUCCGAAGGGAGGCAGCAGUGGGGAAUAUUGCACAAUGGGCGGAAGCCUGAUGCAGCAACGCCGCGUGCGGGAUGACGGCCUUCGGGUUGUAAACCGCUGUCGCCUGUGACGAAGCGUGAGUGACGGUAAUGGGUAAAGAAGCACCGGCUAACUACGUG
rnacentral:rRNA from 1 species